rnacentral:rRNA from 1 species
UACGGAGGGUGCGAGCGUUGUCCGGAAUCAUUGGGCGUAAAGGGCGCGUAGGCGGCCUUGCAAGUCGGUUGGUGAAAGCCCGGGGCUCAACCCCGGAGGUGCGGCCGAGACUGCAGGGCUGGAGGCCGGAAGAGGAGGGUGGAAUACCCAGUGUAGAGGUGAAAUUCGUAGAUAUUGGGUGGAACACCGGUGGCGAAAGCGGCUCUCUGGUCCGGACCUGACGCUGAGGCGCGAAAGCGUGGGGAGCAAACAGG